CACACCGCACCCAAUCCCAUCCUCUACCCUGGUCGUCCCUAUCCACACCAGCCGCCACACAACCCUAGCCCCUUUCCCCUCGAUCCCCACAGCCCCUCCCUCCUCCUCGCUCUCCGCCAUGGCCUCUGCACCAGGAGCCUCUCCAUGGCCUCCUACCCAUCCCCCCCCACCACCAUAGGUGCACAUAGAUGAUGGAUCCGUUCCGGAGAAGAGCAGCUCCAGUGAUGGUGGGGUGCAUCUGUGCCGAAGAUGAAGGAGGUCCGCCGCCCGUCUUUGCCUCCUCUCUGCGUCCUUGUUGCUCCUCCUCCUCUCUCUCUCUCCGCACCUAGCAGUGCAGCAGCCGGGACAAGGGGAAGGAGCAGCCCGACCCAGCUCCAUCUCUCUCUGGAUGAGCAGGUGGCGAGGGAAGCCACCACGGCUAGUGGCGGUGCUGCACAGGAACGUACACUCCAGGUCUCCAUCCUGUCUCACGAUCCCUUUCCGUUUCAGUGUUGUUCUUUUUUCUCUUGGUGUGCACUCUCCUGCAUCUCGCGCGGGAGGGAGUGGUGGUGACUAUCAUAGAAGGUGGAGGAGGUCAUUGGAGUCGGCUUCCCUUCCGCUUUGGCUGCCAAGCUCCGCGCGUUGGUGAGUCCCUCUCUCUAUCCCUCUACAUCUCUCCCUCUCUCUGUCAGAGGGCAGCUACCGACCCCAAGGUGCAGGCAGCCAUGGAAAAGCAGAAGAUGCCACACCUAGCUUUCCCCCUUGCCUCCUGCCCUUUCUCUUCAGCUCAUUUAUUUACAUGUGCAAAUUCUUUUUUAUCUAUGCCUGCAAGGUGUUUGAUGAAAGUUCAGUAAGGCUGUGAGGGAAUACCAAACAAGAGAGGAUCCAGUAUCUAUAACAUGCAUCAGAUAUAGAUUGCCGGCGGGUGGAUAUAUUGCUCAAAAGAUGUCACUAGUGUUGUACUGCUGUAGAUGACAUUGAUUUCAUAUAUCAAAGCAUUACAGCUCUUUCAGAUCCUUUGUAUUUCCACUUAGUUAGCUUGAAAAUCUUGUAUACUACGGACACCUCUUGCAAAUUGCAAAGGAGUUCUAACUCCCAACAAGCUUAUUUCCUUAAAAAAUGUAACUGGUACAAUGUUCAGCUCUACAUACCUUAUGAGAGGUCAGCCCCGGCAUCAUAGUCCAUUCCUGAAGAAGUUCACAUGCAUGGUGUGGAUUGUUGAGUUUGCUUGGUUAACGGAAUGACAUGCCUAUGCAGAUCAGCAGCGGGAAGGUCCAGGGUGAAAUCUUCAGGAGGGAUUUGAUGUUGCUAUUGUUUCAGUUUGCAGAUAGAGGAUGCGAUUCCAGCAAGACAGAGACGAUGGUGAUGACAAGUGAGAUUUAUGUUAAGGAGUAUUAGCAUAUGCUCACAGGAUCACUGGAAGCUUAUAAAGGGGGUAAUCUUCUAUAUUUCAGGUCCAAAGCUUUCAAUGCAUUUUUAUCUGUUUUUCAUGUCCCAAUGAUCAUCUGCAAGUCCGAAUUAUGCCAUUGUUGAUGGUGCACAGUCUGAACAUGACAUUGCCUUAUUUGUGACACAGGUGGAAAUUAGCAAGCAAGAUACAGUCGGUGCAUGGAUGACCAAGAUUACUUAUUACUUUAUGAAGAUGAUGAUUCCUGCAUGUUGAUUGUGCUUCAAGGGUAGAAGAGGAUGGGAGGAGGGGACACGCGCUCUAUAUUUUGUUAUGCACACCUUUCUAAACUAUACUUGUCUUCUUAACACAUGUUCAUUGUCCAGUAGAAGCUGUAGAUUUCAGCGUACAAUAAUUUCCAAAACGGCAGAAGGUGUUACUAAUAUGGUGAGUGAUUGAAGGGGAGGCAUGGGGAGAAGAGCAGUCCAAAUGGCGGAUGGAGCAUGUGACCUGUUGAUGUUAGUUUCCAUUUUCGGAAAGAACAAAUUUUCUAUAAUUUGAGUGUACGCUGAUGUGUUAAAGUCAAUCAUUUGGAUUCCCAACUAGACCAUUGUGUUUGUUCUUUAUUUUAUUGUGCAUUGAUAAAAUGUUUCAGUGCCCGUGUGCACCAAGUUGAAUUUUGAAACAGAUGAGAGUUUGCCCUUUA